CGACAUUUUUACAAUUAUAACAAAUGAUUUAUUUAUGACAGAAGCUUUUCAAACAACGCCAUCUGCAACUUAUGUUAGUUAACGUGACACGGAACUUAAGUUUUUGGUCAAAUAUAAUUUCAGGUAUUAUAUUUGAUUUUGAAAAUUGCUGCCAUAUAUAUGUAUAUGUAGCAAUAAACAAAUUCCCGCAAAGUAUACGAUUCUUAACACGUUGAGUGGCGUCAGGGUCAGCAAUGAGCAGUACUACAAUUUAAUGCAUUUGAAUGAUUUAAAAAAUAUUUAAUAGCAAACAGAUGCAGGACGAAUUCUGUAUGUCCUUGAGAGUGUUUUUUCCUCUCUCUCUCAAAAUCGUCGUAUGCUUUCGUAGUAUCUAUACCUAUCUCCGUCUGUCGCACACUUUUUGUUUUACGACCAUGAGAAUCAACCGAUCUCUUUCUCUCCGAACAACCUUAAAGACUGUUCUGGAGAAUGUAAACUUGCGUAUCGUGCAGAGCCUGACAAGCAGCAGGAUAUGCGAAACAAUGGUAACAAAAAGUAGGUCGAGUUAGAGUAAAAACAAAUGACAAAUUCAAGCUGUGUUUGACACAGCUCUCCUGGUGAAUUUGAAUGUCUACGAUGAAGUCAAUGUUAUUUCUUGUAAAUUCUUACUUUUUAAUUAGUUUAAAAAUGAUAAAAGUAAAAACAAGUUUUUGUUUCUUUUAAAAUCUUCCAGAAAGGUAGGAAAUUAUUUUAUCGCAUUAAAUAAUUUGCAGAACUACUUGCAUAUGGUAAAGUUAAAUAACUGUGUGGGAAGAAUUAUGUAAUUUGUACAGCUAAAAGAAAUUAUGUUUUAAUGACAGUAUGUUUAAACAAUGAACAGAUUAAUAAGAUAAUAAAACAAUUAAAAUGUAAAUUAAUGUGA